GGUGUGCAUAGUCAAAAGGCAGAGGGUGACCACACACUGAGAGAUACAUAUGGAGGUAUACAGAGAUGCAGAUGAGCACACCACAGACUGAGCCUUGUUCUUUUGAACACCGUGACACAAAACCAAGUCACAAGUUGUGUUCCAGGCUUGAAUCAAUGACAACUCCAAGGCCAGCCAGUGUCAUGUUCCCUUGCUCAGGAUGUUUGACCGCAGCAUCAGGAGAGUAAAGGACAGCAGGAAAGUGACUAAUCCUGCACAGAACCCAGGACCCAGAUCUCCCGGGCUCAGCAUCUCUUCCUGUCAGUUCUGAACGGUCUCAGUCAAGAGCAGAACUCUAGGCAGUGUCCCAUGGAAGAAUCCAUCACAUUUCAGCCAAAGCAUCGAGAUUUGUCUUCUUUUUCUAUCAAGCUUUCCUCAGGUAUUUCUGUGUGGGCAAUUAAUUUCUUUACCAUCCUUCAAUAAAUAUCUAACAAUAAAGAUGAUCAAAAAGUGAAAGUAGA